AACGAACGCUGGCGGCAGGCCUAACACAUGCAAGUCGAGCGCCCCAGCGAUGGGGAGCGGCGGACGGGUGAGUAACGCGUGGGAACGUGCCUCUUGCUACGGAAUAGCCUCGGGAAACUGGGAGUAAUACCGUAUGUGCCCUACGGGGGAAAGAUUUAUCGGCAAGAGAUCGGCCCGCGUUGGAUUAGGUAGUUGGUGGGGUAAUGGCCUACCAAGCCGACGAUCCAUAGCUGGUUUGAGAGGAUGAUCAGCCACACUGGGACUGAGACACGGCCCAGACUCCUACGGGAGGCAGCAGUGGGGGAAUCUUAGACAAUGGGCGCAAGCCUGAUCUAGCCAUGCCGCGUGAGCGAUGAAGGCCUUAGGGUUGUAAAGCUCUUUCAGUGGGGAAGAUAAUGACUGUACCCACAGAAGAAGCCCCGGCUAACUCCGUGCCAGCAGCCGCGGUAAUG
rnacentral:rRNA from 1 species